UACGUAGGGUGCAAGCGUUGUCCGGAAUUAUUGGGCGUAAAGAGCUCGUAGGCGGUCUGUUGCGUCGGCUGUGAAAACCCGAGGCUCAACCUCGGGCCUGCAGCCGAUACGGGCAGACUAGAGUUCGGCAGGGGAGACUGGAAUUCCUGGUGUAGCGGUGAAAUGCGGAGAUAUCAGGAGGAACACCGGUGGCGAAGGCGGGGCUCUGGGCCGAUACUGACGCUGAGGAGCGAAAGCGUGGGGAGCGAACAGG
rnacentral:rRNA from 1 species